rnacentral:rRNA from 1 species
AUGAACGCUGGCGGCGUGCCUCAUACAUGCACGUCGAGCGAACGGACGAGAAGCUUGCUUCUCUGAUGUUAGCGGCGGACGGGUGAGUAACACGUGGAUAACCUACCUAUAAGACUGGGAUAACUUCGGGAAACCGGAGCUAAUACCGGAUGAUAUUUUGAACCGCAUGGUUCAAAAGUGAAAGACGGUCUUGCUGUCACUUAUAGAUGGAUCCGCGCUGCAUUAGCUAGUUGGUAAGGUAACGGCUUACCAAGGCAACGAUGCAUAGCCGACCUGAGAGGGUGAUCGGCCACACUGGAACUGAGACACGGUCCAGACUCCUACGGGAGGCAGCAGUAGGGAAUCUUCCGCAAUGGGCGAAAGCCUGACGGAGCAACGCCGCGUGAGUGAUGAAGGUCUUCGGAUCGUAAAACUCUGUUAUUAGGGAAGAACAUAUGUGUAAGUAACUGUGCACAUCUUGACGGUACCUAAUCAGAAAGCCACGGCUAACUACGUG